CAUGGGCAGGCUGAAGCGGGGGUAAGACCCCGUGGAGGGCCGAACCCACGCAGGUUGAAAACUGCGGGGAUGACCUGUGGGUAGGGGUGAAAGGCCAAUCAAACUCCGUGAUAGCUGGUUCUCCCCGAAAUGCAUUUAGGUGCAGCGUCGUAUUAUAGCUUGGUGGAGGUAGAGCGACUGGUUGGUUGAGCGGGACUACAAUCUUAGCAAUGUCAGCCAAACUCCGAAUGCCACUAAUUGUGUUGUACGGCAGUGAGACUGUGGGGGAUAAGCUUCAUAGUCGAGAGGGAAACAGCCCAGAUCGCCGGUUAAGGCCCCUAAGGGUGUACUAAGUGGAAAAGGAUGUGGGAUCGCGAAGACAGCCAGGAGGUUGGCUUAGAAGCAGCCAUCCUUGAAAGAGUGCGUAAUAGCUCACUGGUCAAGUGAUUCCGCGCCGAUAAUGUAGCGGGGCUUAAGUUAUCCGCCGAAGCUGUGGCAACCUGUGUGGUUGGGUAGGGGAGCGUCGUGUCAGUGGUGAAGCUGCCGGGUGACUGUGUGGUGGAGUUGAUGCGAGUGAGAAUGCAGGCAUGAGUAGCGUGUGACGGGUGGGAAUCCCGUCCGCCGAUUAUCCAAGGGUUCCAGGGUCAAGUUUGUCUGCCCUGGGUGAGUCGGGUCCUAAGGCGAGGCCGACAGGCGUAGUCGAUGGGUAACCAGUUGAUAUUCUGGUACCGGCUUGUCACCGUCCGUGUCGAGGUGUGUGAUGCUAAGCAUGUGAGCUUGUCUUGGGAGUGUUUUUGAUGCUUCUGGGGUGGGUGAGUGUGUGAACCGAUCAUGUAGUAGGCAAGCUGCGGAGGGACGCAGUGAGGUAGCUCAUCCCCGGUGAUGGUUGUCCGGGGCUAAGUGUGUGGACUGUCUGGUAGGUAAAUCCGCUGGGCGUGAAGGUUGAGGCAUGAUGGGGAGCCCACGGUUGUGGGUGAGUGAGUGAUCCUGUACUGUCGAGAAAAGCUUCGUGAGCGAGGUGGCGGGUCCGCCCGUACCCUAAACCGACACUGGUGGAUAGGUAGAGUAUACCGAGGCGAUCGAGUGAAUCGUGGUGAAGGAACUCGGCAAAAUGCCCCCGUAACUUUGGGAUAAGGGGGACCUGAGCUGUCGUGCACCCGUGCGGUGUGGUGGCGGUGAGGGGCGCAGAGUCCAGGGGGAAACGACUGUUUACCAAAAACACAGGUCCGUGCGAAGUCGUAAGACGAUGUAUACGGACUGACUCCUGCCCGGUGCUGGAAGGUUAAGGGGAACUGUGAGUGUGAUGCGUAGCGGUGAACUUAAGCCCCAGUAAACGGCGGUGGUAACUAUAACCAUCCUAAGGUAGCGAAAUUCCUUGUCGGGUAAGUUCCGACCUGCACGAAUGGAGUAACGAUUUCCCUACUGUCUCCACCAUGAACUCGG
rnacentral:rRNA from 1 species